ACAUUCGAAUCAUUAUUUUGUCUCAGAAAAAAAUUCUCAUUGUAGCUUCGUUUGACAAGGUCUGAGUGAUUCAAUGUUACAAGACUCCUAAAAGCCACCAUGUACAGAUUUAACAGAAAGGGGGAUUAUUCAAUACCCAACAGAAACUGAACUGAUGUGGUCAAACCUUGGAAAAGAGGACUAAAUGAUGACAUGGCACCCAGUGAUAUUGAUACUGAGGGAUAUUAUAGAUAUAGUAGACCUAGAGCUAGGGACGUUAAUUUAAAAGCUUUGGUUUUUGAACUUAUCAUUCUUCUAAAGCAAUUGCUAGAUCUGUGGGCAGGUUUUAUCUUCAAGUACACCGAGGAUAAGUGGAGAUCGAUUGAAGACAUUUGUAUGCUUUUUUUGUAACAAAUCUUUGCUUUGUUUUGUUGUCUUUGCUGCUAAUUUUUUUUUCUA